rnacentral:rRNA from 1 species
CCUACGGGGCUGCAGUGGGGAAUAUUGGGCAAUGGGCGCAAGCCUGACCCAGCAACGCCGCGUGAAGGAAGAAGGCUUUCGGGUUGUAAACUUCUUUUAAGAGGGAAGAGCAGAAGACGGUACCUCUUGAAUAAGCCACGGCUAACUACGUGCCAGCAGCCGCGGUAAUACGUAGGGGGCAAGCGUUGUCCGGAUUUACUGGGUGUAAAGGGCGUGUAGUCGGGCUGACAAGGCAGAUGUGAAGUUCCGGGGCUAAACCACGGACCUGCAUUUGAAACUGUUGGUCUUGAGUAUCGGAGAGGAAGGCGGAAUUCCUAGUGUAGCGGUGAAAUGCGUAGAUAUUAGGAGGAACACCAGUGGCGAAGGCGGCCUGCUGGACGACAACUGACGGUGAGGCGCGAAAGCGUGGGGAGCAAACAGGAUUAGAUACCCUUGUAGUC